CAAUGCAGGAUUUGAGGUAGAGAAAUCACUUCAUUCAUCCUGGGAAUAAAAUUCUGAGGGUUUAGAGCAGAUUUUAUUUAGUCACUGGUCUUUGUUGUCAUGUUCCUUUACUCCCUGUGUCUCCCUAAACCAAACACAGCCUGAGCUAAAUCUAAUGUGGCCUGGUUCUCCUGCACAGGAUUUCAUGUACCAGUUUAAGGGCACCUGCUACUUCACCAAUAGGACUCAGCGAGUGAGGCGCAUGGCCAGACAAAUUUACAAUAAGGAGGAGAUCCUGUGCUUUGACAGUGAUGUGGGGGUGUUUGUGGCUGUAACAGAGCAGAGGAUGUCAAGUGCCAAGAGCUGGAAUGCCCAGAAGGACCUCCUGGCUGAGUAUCAGGCCCAUGUAGACACCUUGUGCAGACACCACUAUUAAUAGACAUCUUCCUUCACUGUUCAGCAGAGAGGUUAGUUUAGGACUGAUCAAAGUGCGCACACCUCUGAACUAGUGUGGAAGGCCUGUGGGGAAAGCAACUUUUGGGAUUCCUAGGAUUUUGGUAAAAUUGGGAGGGCAUUUGAAUUGAAGGAAAAACUGUUGAAAUACUUGAUAGGCAGCAUUGGAAGAGUGUAUUAGUCAGCUUUGAGUUACUGUAAUACAGUGCUUGAGAUAAUUAACUUAAAUAGAGGAGAAGUUUAUUUUGAUUCACAAUUUAGUCCAUGGUUGGUUGAUAGCACUGAUUUUGAGCCCCUGGUGAAGUAGCACAACAUCGUGGGGAAAUACAGAGGAGGAGAACAUUGUUAGUUAAUUGUAUUCUGUGAAAAUCACAGACUGUACUUACAGCAAGACAACUAGGACAUCAUUAGUCAGAAUAAUCUUAAGGGACCAUAAUGGUAUAUGCAUUGCUGACCUAUAUAUUUAUAAAAGGGACAUUCAAUUUAUUUUUUUCAUUUAAAAAUCAACAUAUAAUAUUGGUACUUAUUUAUGAGGUACACUGUUGUAAUUCAACACAAUGUGGUAUGAUCAAACUGGGGAGAUCAGCAUUUCCACUUCCUGAAAUAUUAUCAUUUGUGUGUACUGGCAACCCAAACUCUUCUUCUCUAGUUUUUGCAAAGUGUGUAAUUAAUUAUUGUAGACUAUCCUUUGUUGAGCUGUAUAACAUUAAAAGUGCUCCCCUCCAAGUAUGUUUGAUUCCCAUUAUUCACCAUCUCACUAUUCCUUUCCUGGGCUGUGGUGACCUCUAUUCUACCCUCUAUUUCUAUGUGAUCAACUUUUUAAAAAAAUAUUCCACAAAUGGGUGAAACCUUUGGUAUUUGUGAACACUAAUAUCUACUGUUUUCUCCACUUUCAUAUUAAAGGAGGGACUUAAGCCCAUGUUGAGACCCACUAUGCUGCCUCAUUCUCUGACUUUAUUUUUUGCUGUCAUUCAUCCUAGUGGAGCCUAUAGUCACCAUCUCUCCAGCCAGGAAAAAGCCACCACAAUUUGCUGAUCUGCUCAGUGACAAAUAUUAUCCUCAACAAGUUAAAGUCAGAUGGUUCCAGAAUAAAGAGGAAGAGACUUCUGGAGUUGUGUCCACACCACUUAUUCAGAAUGGGGAUUGGACCUACCAGAUUCUUGUGAUGUUGGAAGUAAUACCCCAGCAUGGAGAUGUCUACACUAGCCACGUGGCGCACCCCAGCCUCCAGAGCCCCAUCACUGUAGAAUGGGGCACUGUCAGAAUCUGCCCAGAACAAGAUGCUGAAUGGAAUUGGGAGUCUUGUGCUGGAACUGAUUUUUCUUGGCUUGGGCCUUAGUGUCUACUUUUGCAAUAAGAAAGGGAUCAUGCACAGAUUCCAACAUUUUUCUUCCUGUUACCACUGUUCCAUGGUCUACUGCUGUCUUCACCAUUGUGCAAGUUCCUAGCCUCCCUUCUCUCAGGCCUGUGAGGAAUCCACCUCUGCCAGCCCUGUCCCCCAUCAAGACCUGAGUCCCAAAGUGCCUGAGCAGCAGAUGCCAGGCCCUCUUCUUUUGCACACUCAUACACACACACAUACACAAUUUUUAGUUGUGAUGGGUCUUUAUUUUAUUCAUUUGUUUAUAUGUGGUGCUGAGAAUUGAACCCAGUGACUCACACAUGCUAGUCAAGUGUUCUACCACUGGGCCAAAACCCCAGGCCCCUGGCCCUCUUCUUGUUCUGGUCUUUCCUGAGUUUCUGUGACUGCUUUCCACCCAACUCUGCUCCCUGUGCUGCUGCCACAUCUGUUUGGGCCACGAGUACUUUCAACAUGUUCCUGAUCUUGUCCUCUGUCUGAAGACUUCCCAUGAAUUACAUGUCAAACUCCUUUAUCUUUCAGUAUAUUUUUUCAAAAUUAAAUAGAUUUGUGAGUCCCUUG